AUUGAACGCUGGCGGCAGGCCUAACACAUGCAAGUCGAGCGAGCGGCGGACGGGUGAGUAAUGUAUGGGGACUGCCCGAUAGAGGGGGAUAAAUACUGGAAACGGUAGCUAAUACCGCAUACUAUCGGAUAACCCAUAUGGGAUUAGCUAGUAGGGGAGGUAAUGGCUCACCUAGGCGACGAUCCCUAGCUGGUCUGAGAGGAUGAUCAGCCACACUGGGAGUGAGACACGGCCCAGACUCCUACGGAGGAAGCAGGUGGGAAUAUGGCAGAAUGGGCGUAAGCCUGAUGCAGCCAUGCCGCGUGUAGGAAGAAGGCCCGAGGGUUGUAAAGGACUUUCAGUCGGGAGUCGUUACCGACAGAAGAAGCACCGGCUAACUCCGUGCCAGCAGCCGCGGUAAUUC
rnacentral:rRNA from 1 species